rnacentral:rRNA from 1 species
UACAGAGGGUGCGAGCGUUAAUCGGAAUUACUGGGCGUAAAGGGCGCGUAGGUGGUUUAUUAAGAUUGAUGUGAAAUCCCUGGGCUUAACCUAGGAACUGCAUCGAUGACUGAUAAGCUAGAGUACUGUAGAGGGUAGUGGAAUUUCCGGUGUAGCGGUGAAAUGCGUAGAGAUCGGAAGGAACACCAGUGGCGAAGGCGGCUACCUGGACAGAUACUGACACUGAGGCGCGAGAGCGUGGGGAGCAAACAGG